GUAGAGACGGGGUUUCACCGUGUUGGUCAGGCUAGUCUCGAACUCCUGACCUCAGAUGAUCCGCCUGGCUCAUUGCUGCAUUCUUAAACCCUCUUGGUAGCUUCGUUCUAAGUGCUUCCAAGAUAUGAGUGAAUGCUAUAGAAAUUGCAGGGGAGUCCAAAGGGCUGCGCUUCUCCCGUGGCUCAGUCUUAUUUCAUACCUGCGACAUCUUUUAAGAGAGG
rnacentral:lncRNA from 10 species